CUUACACAGGGGGAUAACAGUUAGAAAUGACUGCUAAUACCGCAUAAAACAGCAGCACCGCAUGGUGCAACUGUCAAAGAUUUAUCGGUGUAAGAUGGACCCGCGUCUGAUUAGCCAGUUGGUGGGGUAACGGCCUACCAAAGCGACGAUCAGUAGCCGACCUGAGAGGGUGAUCGGCCACAUUGGGACUGAGACACGGCCCAAACUCCUACGGGAGGCAGCAGUGGGGAAUAUUGGACAAUGGGCGAAAGCCUGAUCCAGCGACGCCGCGUGAGCGAUGAAGUAUUUCGGUAUGUAAAGCUCUAUCAGCAGGGAAGAAAAUGACGGUACCUGACUAAGAAGCCCCGGCUAACUACGUGCCAGCAGCCGCGGUAAUACGUAGGGGGCAAGCGUUAUCCGGAUUUACUGGGUGUAAAGGGAGCGUAGACGGAAGUGCAAGUCAGAAGUGAAAGCCCGGGGCUUAACCCCGGGACUGCUUUUGAAACUGUGCAUCUAGAGUGCAGGAGAGGUAAGCGGAAUUCCUAGUGUAGCGGUGAAAUGCGUAGAUAUUAGGAGGAACACCGGUGGCGAAGGCGGCUUACUGGACUGUAACUGACG
rnacentral:rRNA from 1 species